ACGACUCUCGGCAACGGAUAUCUCGGCUCACGCAUCGAUGAAGAACGUAGCAAAAUGCGAUACUUGGUGUGAAUUGCAGAAUCCCGUGAACCAUCGAGUUUUUGAACGCAAGUUGCGCCCGAAGCCAUUCGGUUGAGGGCACGUCUGCCUGGGAGUCACG
rnacentral:rRNA from 1 species